UGCCCUGUAGCUCAGUGGUAGAGCAAACGGCUGUUAACCGUGAGGUCGUAAGUUCGAUACUUACCAGGGCAGC
rnacentral:tRNA from 3 species